ACACCUCAACUCUCAUGGUUUGCCAUGACGAGCUUGGAAUUUGGGGGUCUUGCUGGCCUAUGGUCAGCUCCUCUAAAAUGAAUCAGCUUGCCAGUGUUUGGUGGCAUCACAGGUGUGAUAACUAUCUACGCUUGUGAAUUUCCACCAGAUAACCUUCAGCAAUGAAGGUUCGCUGGGGCUCAUAAAUGUCUCUCCUCAGCAGAGAUGGCUCCUUUGAAU
rnacentral:misc_RNA from 1 species